rnacentral:rRNA from 1 species
UACGUAGGGUGCAAGCGUUGUCCGGAAUUAUUGGGCGUAAAGAGCUCGUAGGCGGUCUGUCGCGUCGGAUGUGAAAAUCCAGGGCUCAACCCUGGACCUGCAUUCGAUACGGGCAGACUAGAGUUCGGUAGGGGAGACUGGAAUUCCUGGUGUAGCGGUGAAAUGCGCAGAUAUCAGGAGGAACACCGGUGGCGAAGGCGGGUCUCUGGGCCGAAACUGACGCUGGGGAGCGAAAGCGUGGGGAGCAAACAGG